rnacentral:rRNA from 1 species
UACGAAGGGGGCUAGCGUUGCUCGGAAUGACUGGGCGUAAAGGGCGCGUAGGCGGCUCAUACAGUCAGAUGUGAAAUUCCUGGGCUUAACCUGGGGGCUGCAUUUGAUACGUGUGGGCUUGAGUGGGGAAGAGGGUCGUGGAAUUCCCAGUGUAGAGGUGAAAUUCGUAGAUAUUGGGAAGAACACCGGUGGCGAAGGCGGCGACCUGGUCCUUGACUGACGCUGAGACGCGAAAGCGUGGGGAGCGAACAGG